AUACGUAGGGGGCGAGCGUUGUCCGGAAUGAUUGGGCGUAAAGGGCGCGUAGGCGGCCCGGUAAGUCUGGAGUGAAAGUCCUGUUUUUAAGAUGGGAAUUGCUUUGGAUACUGUCGGGCUUGAGUGCAGGAGAGGUAAGUGGAAUUCCCAGUGUAGCGGUGAAAUGCGUAGAGAUUGGGAGGAACACCAGUGGCGAAGGCGACUUACUGGACUGUAACUGACGCUGAGGCGCGAAAGUGUGGGGAGCAAACAGGAUUAGAUACCCUGGUAGUCCACGCUGUAAACGAUGAAUACUAGGUGUGGGGGGACUGACCCCCUCCGUGCCGCAGUUAACACAAUAAGUAUUCCACCUGGGGAGUACGAUCGCAAGAUUGAAACUCAAAGGAAUUGACGGGG
rnacentral:rRNA from 1 species